UAGCCGCAGUAUUUUGACUGUGCGAAGGUAGCGUGAUAAUUAGUCUAUUAAUUGUAGUCUUGUAUGAAUGGUUGGACACAGGAAAUUCUUUCUUAUUUAUAAGGUUGAAUUUUAAGAAUUAGUGAAAAUGCUAAUAUAUUUUAUAAAGACGAGAAGACCCUAUUGAGUUUUAUAUAUUAGUAUUACAUUAUAAGGAGGUUGUAGUAUGAUUAUAUUUGGUUGGGGCGACUUAUGUGAUGAAACAUAUUAUAAUUGUUUAAAGAUUUUUGGUCCAUUAUUAAUGAUUAUUAGAAUAAAUUACCAUAGGGAUAACAGCAUAAUUUUAUCCGAGAGUUCUUAUCGAUGAUAAUGUUUGUGACCUCGAUGUUGGAUUAAGAUUACUAUUAGGUGCAGAUGCUUAAAUAGUUAGACUGUUCGUCUAUUUAAAUCUUACA
rnacentral:rRNA from 1 species